GAAGAUAAAUGAUGUGCACAGGAUCACAUGGAAAGAAAAUGAACCAAGAUCCUGAGCUCAGAUCAGUCUGGCUCUAAACCCCUUUAAAUUAUGAUAUGUCCUCAAAACAUAUCUUUGAGAAGCGAACACAAGAAUGACAACCAAGCCAAUAAAGCUCCUCUGAAAAUGUUUCACCUUCUCUGAAAUACUGCAUUACUAGGUCUUGGAAGCAGAGGGAUAUGCAGAAGUGCUUGAAACACUGACAGCGUCAUCCAGCAUCAGAGAGAAAAAUCCUCUCUGGAAUGUGGUGGGUAGGCAUAGGACUGUUGGAGGGACAUGUGAAGAUGCUCUUCACCACAAGUACACAAACAGAAGCCCUGACCGUGACUUCAGUCCUAGCAGCUUAUCUCUUAAGCUGUUUCUGGGCCUUCAUCCUUUUGCUCUGAGCUUGCAGCACUCCAGGAGACUCAGGCUGCAGUGAAUCUGGCAGUGACCUUGUUGAUACCUGAGAGUACCACCCCUCUGCUGCUGAAUAAUCUGUCAAGGGACAGACCCUCCUAAGAACUAUAUCCUUCUUGCAAUUAAAGGGAGAGAGGGAGCUAAUUUGAAGGAUUGUUUCCUAGACUUUUAUCUAUUUCUGAUAUUUUCCCGGCAUCUUUUGUGAAAAGUUCUAUAGCAAGAGUCUGCAAAAGAAAUAGAACAGAUGAUGGAAACUGAUGACUAAAGUCAGCUGUUCCCUAAAAGCAGCAAUAAUGUCAGAGUGCUAACUGGAUAAUCUGUUCUGUUUUGGGUUGUCUCUAUUUUUCUUCUAUCUGAAUUGUCACUGGUUGUCUCUUAUUUAUACUGCAAUGAAAUGGUUCACAAUGUGUGUGUGUGUGGAGACAUGUGUGAAAAGUAGCUGUAUUGUAAUAUUUAUCAUUAAAGAGCUGCCUUUGUUUCAUCUUACAAGCAUCACAUUGAUGAUUUGAAUAAUAAAGCUGACUGGCUUGUUCA
rnacentral:lncRNA from 13 species